AUUGAACGCUGGCGGCAUGCUUAACUCAUGCAAGUCGAACGGCAGCACGGUAUGUAGAAAUACAUAUGGGUGGCGAGUGGCGGACGGGUGAGUAACGCGUAGGAAUCUGCCUUGAAGAGGGGGGUAACCCGAGGACACUGGGGCUAAUACCGCAUGAUAUCGAGAGAUUAAAGCUGGGGUAAGACCUGGCGCUUCAAGAGGAGCCUGCGUCCGAUUAGCUAGUUGGUGGGGUAAGAGCCUACCAAGGCGAUGAUCGGUAGCUGUUCUGAGAGGAUGAUCAGCCACACUGGGACUGAGACACGGCCCAGACUCCUACGGGAGGCAGCAGUGGGGAAUAUUGGACAAUGGGGGGAACCCUGAUCCAGCAAUGCCGCGUGUGUGAAGAAGGCCUUUGGGUUGUAAAGCACUUUAGGCUGGGAGGAAGUUGUGAUGUUUAAGAGAUAUUACGAUUGACUGUACCGGCAGAAUAAGCACCGGCUAACUCUGUGCCAGCAGCCGCGGUAA
rnacentral:rRNA from 1 species